rnacentral:rRNA from 1 species
AGGGGGUCAUCCCGACUUACCAACCCGAUGCAAACUGCGAAUACCGGAGAAUGUUAUCACGGGAGACACACGGCGGGUGCUAACGUCCGUCGUGAAGAGGGAAACAACCCAGACCGCCAGCUAAGGUCCCAAAGUCAUGGUUAAGUGGGAAACGAUGUGGGAAGGCCCAGACAGCCAGGAUGUUGGCUUAGAAGCAGCCAUCAUUUAAAGAAAGCGUAAUAGCUCACUGGUCGAGUCGGCCUGCGCGGAAGAUGUAACGGGGCUAAACCAUGCACCGAAGCUGCGGCAGCGAUGCUUAUGCGUUGUUGGGUAGGGGAGCGUUCUGUAAGCCUGCGAAGGUGUGCUGUGAGGCAUGCUGGAGGUAUCAGAAGUGCGAAUGCUGACAUAAGUAACGAUAAAGCGGGUGAAAAGCCCGCUCGCCGGAAGACCAAGGGUUCCUGUCCAACGUUAAUCGGGGCAGGGUGAGUCGACCCCUAAGGCGAGGCCGAAAGGCGUAGUCGAUGGGAAACAGGUUAAUAUUCCUGUACUUGGUGUUACUGCGAAGGGGGGACGGAGAAGGCUAUGUUGGCCGGGCGACGGUUGUCCCGGUUUAAGCGUGUAGGCUGGUUUUCCAGGCAAAUCCGGAAAAUCAAGGCUGAGGCGUGAUGACGAGGCACUACGGUGCUGAAGCAACAAAUGCCCUGCUUCCAGGAAAAGCCUCUAAGCAUCAGGUAACAUCAAAUCGUACCCCAAACCGACACAGGUGGUCAGGUAGAGAAUACCAAGGCGCUUGAGAGAACUCGGGUGAAGGAACUAGGCAAAAUGGUGCCGUAACUUCGGGAGAAGGCACGCUGAUAUGUAGGUGAAGUCCCUUGCGGAUGGAGCUGAAAUCAGUCGAAGAUACCAGCUGGCUGCAACUGUUUAUUAAAAACACAGCACUGUGCAAACACGAAAGUGGACGUAUACGGUGUGACGCCUGCCCGGUGCCGGAAGGUUAAUUGAUGGGGUCAGCGCAAGCGAAGCUCUUGAUCGAAGCCCCGGUAAACGGCGGCCGUAACUAUAACGGUCCUAAGGUAGCGAAAUUCCUUGUCGGGUAAGUUCCGACCUGCACGAAUGGCGUAAUGAUGGCCAGGCUGUCUCCACCCGAGACUCAGUGAAAUUGAACUCGCUGUGAAGAUGCAGUGUACCCGCGGCAAGACGGAAAGACCCCGUGAACCUUUACUAUAGCUUGACACUGAACAUUGAGCCUUGAUGUGUAGGAUAGGUGGGAGGCUUUGAAGUGUGGACGCCAGUCUGCAUGGAGCCGGCCUUGAAAUACCACCCUUUAAUGUUUGAUGUUCUAACGUGGACCCGUGAUCCGGGUUGCGGACAGUGUCUGGUGGGUAGUUUGACUGGGGCGGUCUCCUCCUAAAGAGUAACGGAGGAGCACGAAGGUUGGCUAAUCCUGGUCGGACAUCAGGAGGUUAGUGCAAUGGCAUAAGCCAGCUUGACUGCGAGCGUGACGGCGCGAGCAGGUGCGAAAGCAGGUCAUAGUGAUCCGGUGGUUCUGAAUGGAAGGGCCAUCGCUCAACGGAUAAAAGGUACUCCGGGGAUAACAGGCUGAUACCGCCCAAGAGUUCAUAUCGACGGCGGUGUUUGGCACCUCGAUGUCGGCUCAUCACAUCCUGGGGCUGAAGUAGGUCCCAAGGGUAUGGCUGUUCGCCAUUUAAAGUGGUACGCGAGCUGGGUUUAGAACGUCGUGAGACAGUUC